rnacentral:ncRNA from 1 species
AAACAGAUAGGUUUGGCCCUGGCCAUUUUAUUAGCUCUUAGUAAGAUUAUACAUGCAAGCAUCCCUGCCCCAGUGAAAAUGCCGUCAGAGCAGGUAUCAAGUAUGAAUACAGCUCAAAACACUUUGCUUAACCACACCCCCACAGGAAACAGCAAUGAUAAAUCUUUAUUGAUAAACGAAAGUUUAGGCUAUACUAAUAGUUAGGGUUGGUCAAUUUCGUGCCAGCCACCGCACGAUUAACCUGAGUUAAUGGAACUCAGCAUAAAGUAUUUAAGGUCUGCCCUCAGUAAAGCUAAAAACCCCAUCUAAGUUGUAAAAAACUCCAGUUGAAAUAAAAUAUACUACAAAAGUGGCUUUAAGACCCUGAAAACACAAUAGCUAAAACCGAAACUGGGAUUAGAUACCCCACUAUGCUUAGCCCUCAACUCUAAGAGUUACAUGAACAAAACCAUUUGCCUGAGUACUUAAGCAACAGCUUAAAACUCAGUUUAAAACUCAAAGGACUUGGCAGUGCUUUAUAUCCCUCUAGAGGAGCCUGUUCUAUAAUUGAUGAACCCCAAUACACCUCACCACCUCUUGCCCCCAGCCUGUAUACCACCAUCUUCAGCAAACCCCAAAAAGUUUAUUAAGCACAAGUACAUACAUAAAAACGUUAGGUCAAGGUGUAGCCCAUGAGAUGGCAAGAAAUGGGAUACAUUUUCUAUGUCCAGAAAAUCUCACAAAAACGUUUAUGAAAUCUAAGGGCUCAGGAGGAUUUAGCAAUAAACCAAGAGCAGAGUGCUUGGUUGAAUAAGGCUAUGAAGCAUGCACACACCGCCCAUCACCCUCCUCAAAUAUUCCUCUAGAAAUCACUAUUACUAAUAAUUUUCUAUGCAUGUGUAAAGGAGAUAAGUCAUAACAUGUUAAGUGUACUAGAAAGUGGGCUUGGACAAACCGAAGU